UAAACCAUAUUACAAUAAAGU
ensembl:piRNA 21ur-2801 ncRNA